rnacentral:sRNA from 1 species
CGGCCGCUGGAGUAAACACUGCCUUUGUUCCCUAGCGCCUUGUCUUUCGUCGCCCCGUCCCCUCACGCCGCCGGGCUCCGGCCGGCCCGCCCUCGGUCCUUGAACCCCAUUUCGGCUCGUGCCGCGCGGAUGCGGCUGCCGGGCCUGGGUUUGGGUAUUGAGCGGGAGGAGGAGAAGGAGCGGCGGCGCCUGGGCGGCAUGCGAUGGGGAACUGCUGCUGGACGCAGUGCUACGGACUGCUCCGCAAGGAAGCGGGGCGGCUGCAGCGAGUAGGCGGCGGCGGAGGAUCCAAGUAUUUUAGAACAUGCUCAAGAGGUGAGCACUUAACAAUAGAGGUAAGUAGUCGUUAAUUUGAUUGGAUUAAAAGUGCCUUCAGAAAGGCGGAAGGGG